rnacentral:pre_miRNA from 1 species
UUUAGGAAGAGGAAGAGAAGAGGAUCUAAGAGCAGUAGGAAUGGGAAUAUAUAGGAAAAGCUUAGGUGCUCCUCCUACAAUGGAGGCUGGUACUUGGAGUUUUCCCAAUGCCCUCUCAUUCCUGUGGCUCUUAGGUGCUCCUUGCUCCUUUGGCU